rnacentral:rRNA from 1 species
UACAGAGGGCGCAAGCGUUGUCCGGAAUUAUUGGGCGUAAAGAGCUCGUAGGCGGCCUGUUGCGUCCGCUGUGAAAUCCCGGGGCUUAACCCCGGGCGUGCAGUGGAUACGGGCUGGCUAGAGGCAGGCAGGGGAGAACGGAAUUCCCGGUGUAGCGGUGAAAUUCGUAGAUAUUAGGAAGAACACCAGUGGCGAAGGCGGCUCACUGGUCCGGUACUGACGCUGAGGUGCGAAAGCGUGGGGAGCAAACAGG